UAUAUCGUACUCAUCUUCGAAAAGUGAAAAUAUUUCUGAGUAUGAGUUUAAUUUUGAACAUAACUCACAGGAGACACCGAAGAGCAAAAAACAAUCUGAGAGAAUGGCAAAGAAGAAGCGCAUUAUUGAAGAUUCAUCUUCCCAAAUGGAGACUGAAUUUGAUGAUGAAAGUGAAGAAAUGGAGGAAAUAACAAAAAGAAGAUUGAAGAAAAAAAUGAUAAGCC